GACGAACGCUGGCGGCGUGCUUAACACAUGCAAGUCGAACGGAAAGGCCUGCUUUCCCUUGUGGAUUGCGGGUGCUCGAGUGGCGAACGGGUGAGUAACACGUGAGUGAUCUGCCCCCAACUUGGGUAUAAGCCUGGGAAACUGGGUCUAAUUCCCGAUAGGACUGCAGGGUGGUGCCUGUGGUGGAAAACGAUUUUCUAGUGGUUGGGGAUGAGCUCGCGGCCUAUCAGCUUGUUGGUGGGGUAAUGGCCUACCAAGGCGGCGACGGGUAGCCGGACUGAGAGGGUGGACGGCCACAUUGGGACUGAGAUCCGGCCCAGACUCCUACGGGAGGCAGCAGUGGGGAAUAUUGCACAAUGGGCGGAAGCCUGAUGCAGCGACGCCGCGUGGGGGAUGACGGCCUUCGGGUUGUAAACUCCUUGCGACCGCGAGGAAGCCACCUGGUUGGAAGGGUGGUGACGGUAGUGGUAGAAGAAGCACCGGCUAACUACGUG
rnacentral:rRNA from 1 species